rnacentral:piRNA from 1 species
UGCCAUUGCACCAUCUUUAAUCUGGA